rnacentral:rRNA from 1 species
UACGAAGGGGGCUAGCGUUGUUCGGAUUUACUGGGCGUAAAGCGCACGUAGGCGGAUCGAUCAGCCAGGGGUGAAAUCCCAGGGCUCAACCCUGGAACUGCCUUUGAUACUGUCGAUCUGGAGUAUGGAAGAGGUGAGUGGAAUUCCGAGUGUAGAGGUGAAAUUCGUAGAUAUUCGGAGGAACACCAGUGGCGAAGGCGGCUCACUGGUCCAUUACUGACGCUGAGGUGCGAAAGCUAGGGGAGCAAACGGG